AGUUACGUUACGUAUUUGAGAAGAAAAUGGAGGAUGGAAGCAAAUAACUGAAAUGCCUUCAUCCGCAAUAUAAUAUAAUAUUAUCGAUAUCUAUACGUAUUUUAUAUAUUUAUUAAAAACAAAAUGUUCCUUCACGGCCAACAGAAAUCGAAACAGAAACUAACGCUUUGCAAAACGCUUUAUGCAAUAUCAUCAAAUCAAUCGAGACGGACAAGUACUUCAACGCAGCAAGUACUGAGAGAUGACAGUCUGUGGACCCUAGCAACCGGGCAAAUAUGGCGUUCGAAAUUUUGUUCGUAAACAGAGGCGUUCGAAACUCGAGGUUUGACUGAAUAAAAGAUCCACCAUCCACCAACUAAGACCAUUUCCAAUAAGAGCUGAAGGUGUUAAACUUUUGUUUAUAACAGACAAAGUGAAGCCAGUGAUAAGAAAUCAUACAAGAUGAAUUCCAUCAAAGGAGAAAGCAUAUUCCAUGAAAAUGAAGAAAAACAGAACAUUUAAUGAAGAUAUUUUAAGAUUAUUAUUUACAUCUUUUGUUGCAAAAUGCAUAGUAAUUGUGUCCAGAAAAAAACUGUAUAAAUUACAUUAAUUUGUGAUAGUAUUUAUGCCUGUUGUUAAUAUUUGUGAACACUGGUGUAAGCAGUU